GAUGAACGCUGGCGGCGUGCCUAAUACAUGCAAGUCGAGCGAACAGACGAGGAGCUUGCUCCUCUGACGUUAGCGGCGGACGGGUGAGUAACACGUGGAUAACCUACCUAUAAGACUGGGAUAACUUCGGGAAACCGGAGCUAAUACCGGAUAAUAUAUUGAACCGCAUGGUUCAAUAGUGAAAGACGGUUUUGCUGUCACUUAUAGAUGGAUCCGCGCCGCAUUAGCUAGUUGGUAAGGUAACGGCUUACCAAGGCGACGAUGCGUAGCCGACCUGGGAGGGUGAUCGGCCAAACUGGAACUGAGACACGGUCCAGACUCCUACGGGAGGCAGCAGUAGGGAAUCUUCCGCAAUGGGCGAAAGCCUGACGGAGCAACGCCGCGUGAGUGAUGAAGGUCUUCGGAUCGUAAAACUCUGUUAUUAGGGAAGAACAAAUGUGUAAGUAACUAUGCACGUCUUGACGGUACCUAAUCAGAAAGCCACGGCUAACUACGU
rnacentral:rRNA from 1 species